rnacentral:tRNA from 1 species
GCCAGUAUAGUGGAAAUGAUCCUCAGCUUGUAACCGAGUGGGUUCGGGUUCGAAUCCCGAGUAAGGCA